rnacentral:misc_RNA from 1 species
GAAAUGCGAUAAUUAAUGUGAAUUGCAGAAUUCAGUGAAUCAUCGAGUCUUUGAACGCACAUUGCGCCCCCUGGUAUUCCGGGGGGCAUGCCUGUCCGAGCGUCAUUGCUGCCCUCAAGCACGGCUUGUGUGUUGGGCUUCCGUCCCUGGCAACGGGGACGGGCCCAAAAGGCAGUGGCGGCACCAUGUCUGGUCCUCGAGCGUAUGGGGCUUUGUCACCCGCUCCCGUAGGUCCAGCUGGCAGCUAGCCUCGCAACCAAUCUUUUUAACCAGGUUGACCUCGGUUCAGGUAGGGAUACCCGCUGAACUUAAGC